rnacentral:rRNA from 1 species
CUGGCGGCAAGCUUAACACAUGCAAGUCGAACGGAUUAUUCUUUAUAGCUUGCUAUAAAGAAUAGUUAGUGGCAGACGGGUGAGUAAUGCAUAGGAAUCUACCUAGUAGUAUGGGAUAGCCACUAGAAAUGGUGGGUAAUACUGUAUAAUCCCUGCGGGGGAAAGAUUUAUCGCUAUUAGAUGAGCCUAUGUUAGAUUAGCUAGUUGGUAGGGUAAAGGCCUACCAAGGCGAUGAUCUAUAGCUGGUCUGAGAGGAUGAUCAGCCACACUGGAACUGAGAUACGGUCCAGACUCCUACGGGAGGCAGCAGUGGGGAAUAUUGGACAAUGGGCGCAAGCCUGAUCCAGCUAUGCCGCGUGAGUGAGGAAGGCCUUAGGGUUGUAAAACUCUUUCAGUAGGGAAGAUAAUGACGGUACCUACAGAAGAAGUCCCGGCAAACUCCGUGCCAGCAGCCGCGGUAAUACGGAGGGGGCAAGCGUUGUUCGGAAUUAUUGGGCGUAAAGGGCAUGUAGGCGGUUCGGUAAGUUAAAGGUGAAAUGCCAGGGCUUAACCCUGGAGCUGCUUUUAAUACU